rnacentral:pre_miRNA from 1 species
AAUAAAAAACAUAUAAUUUUCGGUUAAUUCGGUUAACCAACCGAAUUAACUGAAAAAUAUCGGUUUGGUUAAG